GACAGAGGGUGCAAACGUUGUUCGGAAUUACUGGGCGUAAAGCGCGUGUAGGCGGCUCUGUAAGUCGGGUGUGAAAUCCCACGGCUCAACCGUGGAAGUGCACUCGAAACUACAGGGCUAGAGUCCUGGAGAGGAAGGUGGAAUGCUUGGUGUAGAGGUGAAAUUCGUAGAUAUCAAGCGGAACACCGGUGGCGAAGGCGGCCUUCUGGACAGUGACUGACGCUGAGACGCGAAAGCGUGGGGAGCGAACGAGG
rnacentral:rRNA from 1 species